GGCUUCAUAGCUCAGUUGUAGAGCGUUUUCCACCGGAAUCGGGAACAAGGUCAUGGGUUCGAAUCCCGUUGGAGCCU